UAAUACGUAGGGGGCAAGCGUUGUCCGGAAUUAUUGGGCGUAAAGCGCGCGCAGGCGGCUGUUUAAGUUCGGUGUUUAAGCCCGGGGCUCAACCCCGGUUCGCACCGGAAACUGGAUGGCUUGAGUGCAGGAGAGGGAAGUGGAAUUCCACGUGUAGCGGUGAAAUGCGUAGAGAUGUGGAGGAACACCAGUGGCGAAGGCGACUUCCUGGCCUGAAACUGACGCUGAGGCGCGAAAGCGUGGGGAGCAAACAGGAUUAGAUACCCUGGUAGUCCACGCCGUAAACGAUGAGUGCUAGGUGUUAGGGGUUUCGAUACCCUUGGUGCCGAAGUCAACACAGUAAGCACUCCGCCUGGGGAGUACGGUCGCAAGACUGAA
rnacentral:rRNA from 1 species